GCGCCCAUAGCUCAGCUGGAUAGAGUGUUUGGCUACGAACCAAAAGGUCACAGGUUCGAGUCCUGUUGGGCGCGCCA
rnacentral:tRNA from 1 species